AAGCUAACGCUUGAAUACAUUAGCAUGGAAUAAUGAAAUAGGACGUUCGAUCCUAUUUUGUUGGUUUUCUUAGGAUUGACGUAAUGAUUAAUAGGGAUAGUUGGGGGCAUUAGUAUUCAAUUGUCAGAGGUGAAAUUCUUGGAUUUAUUGAAGACUAACUACUGCGAAAAGCAUUUGCCAAGGAUGUUUUCAUUAAUCAAGAACGAAAGUUAGGGGAUCGAAGACGAUCAGAUACCGUCGUAGUCUUAACCAUAAACUAUGCCGACUAGGGAUCGGAUGAUGUUAAUUUUUUAAUGACUCAUUCGGCGCCUUACG
rnacentral:rRNA from 1 species